CCUACGGGUGGCAGCAGUGAGGAAUAUUGGUCAAUGGGCGCGAGCCUGAACCAGCCAAGUCGCGUGAAGGAUGACUGCCCUACGGGUUGUAAACCUCUUUUAUAAAGGAAUAAAGUGAGGCACGUGUGCCUUUUUGUAUGUACCUUAUGAAUAAGGAUCGGCUAACUCCGUGCCAGCAGCCGCGGUAAUACGGAGGAUCCGAGCGUUAUCCGGAUUUAUUGGGUUUAAAGGGUGCGUAGGCGGGUUGUUAAGUCAGUGGUGAAAGUUUGCGGCUCAACCGUAGAAUUGCCAUUGAAACUGGCAGGCUUGAGUACGGUUGAGGUAGGCGGAAUUCGUGGUGUAGCGGUGAAAUGCUUAGAUAUCACGAAGAACUCCGAUUGCGAAGGCAGCUUACUAGACCGCGACUGACAUUGAUGCUCGAAAGUGUGGGUAUCAAACAGGAUUAGAUACCCGAGUAGUC
rnacentral:rRNA from 1 species